CCUACGGGUGGCAGCAGUGAGGAAUAUUGGUCAAUGGGCGCGAGCCUGAACCAGCCAAGUCGCGUGAAGGAUGACUGCCCUACGGUUUGUAAACUUCUUUUAUAAAGGAAUAAAGUGAGGCACUAGUGCCUUUUUGUAUGUACUUUAUGAAUAAGGAUCGGCUAACUCCGUGCCAGCAGCCGCGGUAAUACGGAGGAUCCGAGCGUUAUCCGGAUUUUUUGGGUUUAAAGGGAGCGUAGAUGGGUGGUUAAGUCAGUUGUGAAAGUUUGCGGCUCAACCGUAAAAUUGCAAUUGAUACUGGCAGCCUUGAGUACAGUUGAGGUAGGCGGAAUUCGUGGUGUAGCGGUUAAAUGCUUAGAUAUCACGAAGAACUCCGAUGGCGAAGGCAGCUUACUAAACUGCCACUGACGUUGAUGCUCGAAAGUGUGGGUAUCAAACAGGAUUAGAUACCCCAGUAGUC
rnacentral:rRNA from 1 species